GUAUUUUGACUGUGCUAAGGUAGCAUAAUCAUUAGUUUUUUAAUUGAAAGCUGGAAUGAAAGGUUUGAUGAAAAAAUAACUGUCUCAGUUUAAUAAUUUGAAAUUUAUUUUUAAGUUAAAAAGCUUAAAUUUUUAUAAAAGACGAGAAGACCCCAUAGAGUUUCAUAUUUUUAAAAAAGUUAUGUAAUUGGAAAUAAUAAAUUCUUAUUGUAAAAAUAUUUAAUUGGGGUGAUUUAAAAAUUUAAUUAACUUUUUAUAAAUAAUUACAUAAAUAAGUGAAAAAAUUGAUCCUUUUUUUAGAUUAAAAGAAAAAUUACCUUGGGGAUAACAGCGUAAUUUUUUUUUAGAGU
rnacentral:rRNA from 1 species